GCAAAUACUCUCUAAAUCAUUGGACUAACCACUAUAAAAUUGCUAUUCCCUAGAGAAACGGAGACAACAAAGGUUCCAAACCUCUUUGAACUUCAUCAUAUGUUAUUACAUGAUUCAAUUAUGCAUUAAAACAGUAUUAUCAAAUUUUUUGAAUUUUUCUCAAAAUCUAUGUGUACCCCCCUACGAAAAUUGUGUGUUUUCGGUAAAUGCUCUAUAUAUGAAGCCUAUAAUCUUUUAAUUCGUUUUAAAAUUUAUAACCAUAUUAUACCUUUGUAUUAAUGUAUGAUAAACUUCUUUUCAUGGUACAUGAACAUCGUUCUAAUUUUUUAUCCAUUAAUUUACUGCAAAUACUCCCU
rnacentral:lncRNA from 1 species